rnacentral:rRNA from 1 species
UACGUAGGUCCCGAGCGUUGUCCGGAUUUAUUGGACGUAAAGCGAGCGCAGGUGGUUUAUUAAGUCUGGUGUAAAAGGCAGUGGCUCAACCAUUGUAUGCAUUGGAAACUGGUAGACUUGAGUGCAGGAGAGGAGAGUGGAAUUCCAUGUGUAGCGGUGAAAUGCGUAGAUAUAUGGAGGAACACCGGUGGCGAAAGCGGCUCUCUGGCCUGUAACUGACACUGAGGCUCGAAAGCGUGGGGGGCAAACAGG